AGAAGAUACAGACUGUUCCAAGUGGUGAGACGACAAAAGGAGAUCUGAUUACAGGACCCUGCCACCAAAUCCAAACUGGGAUAUUUUUCAAAGAAUCAACACAAAGUGUCAGACUCCUCAUCAGAGAGAUUCGUAGCAGAUUGUGUUCCUGGGCCUGUAGCGGGAAAUCAUUGUACCUGAGCGACGAUGUGGGAACCAGUGGGAGAUUUUACAACAUCGUCUCAGGAAGACGGCUGUAUC